rnacentral:rRNA from 1 species
CCCUUAGAUGUUCUGGGCCGCACGCGCGCUACACUGAUGCAUUCAACGAGUCUAAAACCUGGUCUGAUAGGGCUGGGUAAUCUUUUGAAUGUGCAUCGUGAUUGGGAUAGAUGAUUGCAAUUCUUCAUCUUCAACGAGGAAUGCCUAGUAAACGCAAGUCAUCAGCUUGCGUCGAUUACGUCCCUGCCCUUUGUACACACCGCCCGUCGCUCCUACCGAUUGGGUGUGCUGGUGAAAUGUUCGGAUCGGCCGUUUGUCGCGGUUUCCGCGUCAUGUGGCUGAGAAGUUCAUUAAACCCUCCCACCUAGAGGAAGGAGAAGUCGUAACA